CGCUUUUCACGAGAACAAAAGAAAAUAACACAUGUUGCGAAUGAUUUGGAAAUCGUGGCCGAGGAUGAAAUCAAUGAAGUCGAUAAUGAAAACCAAGUUAAUACUGUGGCUAAUAACGCAGCUGAUAAAAAUAUUAAUGAGAAAAUAGUUGAUGAAAAUCUUCUAAAUAGUGAUGAAAAAAAUCUAAGGUGAUACACGUAUCCGGAGCUUUUUCUCAAAAACGUUAUUCUAAGAGUUUAGGAAAUGUCCCUAUGGACUUAACUAUCAAAGAUUAUACAGUUGUGAAUGUCAUUGGAAAAAUUCGAGAAUAUGAGGAAACUAAAAUUUAUG